rnacentral:rRNA from 1 species
AUUGAACGCUGGCGGCAGGCUUAACACAUGCAAGUCGAGCGGAGAUGAGGUGCUUGCACCUUAUCUUAGCGGCGGACGGGUGAGUAAUGCUUAGGAAUCUGCCUAUUAGUGGGGGACAACAUUCCGAAAGGAAUGCUAAUACCGCAUACGUCCUACGGGAGAAAGCAGGGGAUCUUCGGACCUUGCGCUAAUAGAUGAGCCUAAGUCGGAUUAGCUAGUUGGUGGGGUAAAGGCCUACCAAGGCGACGAUCUGUAGCGGGUCUGAGAGAAUGAUCCGCCACACUGGGACUGAGACACGGCCCAGACUCCUACGGGAGGCAGCAGUGGGGAAUAUUGGACAAUGGGGGGAACCCUGAUCCAGCCAUGCCGCGUGUGUGAAGAAGGCCUUAUGGUUGUAAAGCACUUUAAGCGAGGAGGAGGCUACUGAGACUAAUACUCUUGGAUAGUGGACGUUACUCGCAGAAUAAGCACCGGCUAACUCUGUGCCAGCAGCCGCCGUAAGAC